CGAGCUGCGCGUGAGUUGGUUUAGUGUGCGCGAGGAGAGCAGCGGAAAAGGUACGAUGCUGAAAUGUGGAAAUUAUAAACUGCAGGAAAAACCACCGACCGAGGGCCGGUAGAGCUGGAAGAGGUGGUUUGGUGAAGAUCGCUGGUGAAGACCAUGCAGAGCCGGGCGACUUCACUGCUGCUGGUGCAGCUGCUGCUCCUCUGCAGCUGUGCCCAGAACCAAGGGCUGGACACCACGUCUCUCCCACACUUCACUCAUCCUUCUUACAAUGCGACCAUCUUUGAGAACUCUGCUGCUAAGACCUACUUGGAAAGCCCGGUCAAAAUGGGCAUCUACAUCACAGACCCGUCUUGGGAAAUACGGUACAAGAUCGUGUCGGGCGACAACGAGAACCUUUUCAAAGCUGAGGAAUAUCAACUGGGAGACUUUAGCUUUUUGCGGAUAAGGACCAAAGGAGGCAGCAGUGCCAUUUUGAACCGGGAAGUACGCGACCACUACGUUCUCACAGUCAAGGCUGUGGAAAGGAACUCUAACGCUGAAGCACGGACGCGGGUCCGGGUUCAGGUACUGGACACCAAUGAUCUCCGGCCACUCUUUUCUCCCACCUCUUACAGCAUUUCGCUGCCGGAGAACACGGCAAUCCGCACCAGCAUAGCCAAGGUUACAGCAACGGAUGCUGACAUCGGUACGAACGGGGAGUACUACUACAGCUUUAGGGAGUGGACCGACAUGUUUGCAGUCCAUCCAACAAGCGGUGUGGUUACCCUGACUGGAAAGCUAGAUUACUCCGAGACGAAGCAGUACGAUCUGGAAAUAUUAGCGGUAGAUCGCGGGAUGAAGCUUUAUGGGAGUAGUGGCUUUAGUAGCAUGGCUAAACUAACGGUACGAGUUGAGCAGGCUAACGAGCAUGCUCCAGUGAUCACUGCAGUGACCCUAGCACCUUCGGAUAAUGAAAAAGACCCGACUUAUGCUGUAGUGACUGUUGAGGAUGACGACCAGGGAGCUAAUGGUGAGAUCGCCUCUCUUAGCGUAGUAGCAGGAGACCCUUUGCAGCAGUUUAGAGCUAUGAGGACCAGUCCUGGCAGUAAGGAGUACAAAAUCAAAGCAGUGAAGGAAGUUGACUGGGACAGUCAACCUUAUGGUUACAACCUUACUCUGCAGGCUAAGGACAAAGGCAGCCCACCUCAGUUUUCCUCUGCUAAGGUCAUUCAUAUUACAUCCCCACAGUUUAAAGUAGGGCCUCCGAAAUUUGAGCAGGGUGUUUACAGGGUGAAUGUGAGUGAAUUUGCUCCACUACACACACCUGUUGUGAUGGUCACAGCUGUGCCAAAGUACCCCCAGUUGAAGUACACUUUCAAACAAAAAUUAGACAAGAAUCUCUUUGUAAUCAGUCCAGACACUGGACUAAUCACAACAGCUGGACCUAUCCAUGCUGAUCAUUUGCCACGGUACGAACUAGACGUGAUUACUAGUGACAGAAAAGUAGCCACUAAAGUUAUCAUCGAUGUGAUUGAUGUAAACAACAAUGCCCCAGAGUUUGAGCAGUCGUCCUACAAGGUCAGUGUUGAUGAAAACAUGCCUGCAGGUACGAGUGUGGUAACAGUAAAGGCCACUGAUUUAGACAGUGGAGAGAAUGGCUAUGUUACAUAUAGCAUAGCCAAUGUAAACCCCCAGCCUUUUGUUAUCGAUUACUUCUCUGGAGUUAUCAGUACCUCAGAGCAGCUAGAUUACGAGCUUAUGCCGAGGAUCUAUAAUUUACGUGUGCGAGCCUCAGACUGGGGUGAACCUUUUCGUCGCGAGGUGGAGACACAGGUCCUGAUCACCCUCAUUAACCUGAAUGACAACAAGCCUCUGUUUGAAAACGUGGACUGUGAGGUAACCAUCCCUAGGGACCACGGCACAGGAGAGCAGAUCACAACUGUGUCGGCCAUCGAUGCUGAUGAACUUCAGCUAGUUAGAUAUGUAAUAAAGGGUGGCAACGACUUGAAUCUGUUUGAGUUGAACCCCAACUCAGGUGUGCUGUCUUUGAAGCAGCCCCUUAGCAAGGGCGAGGCGGAAAAGAUUUCCUUCCACAGCUUAAAAAUCACAGCCAGCGACGGCGAACACGAGACUCCUCCAAUGUUCUUGAACAUAACUGUCAUCACAGCACGCAAACCAGUUCAAGUCAGCUGUGUUGAUACUGGUGUGGCCACUAUGCUGGCGGAAAAGCUUCUACAAGGUAGCAAGAUCCACAGCCAAGGGGAACCUGAUGAGAACUUCCUAGACAUUCAUGCUGUCAACCGCUUUGCACCACAGUUUGCAGACUCCUUCCCCAGCGUGGUUGAGGUCAAGGAGGACCUGCCUGUGGGUGCUCGGAUUGUGCAUUUGAGUGCUUCAGACGCAGACAGCGGCUUCAAUGGAAAACUUGUGUAUGUCAUAUCAGGAGGAGACACAGACAGUCGCUUUGUCGUCGAUAUGGAUGAUGGUUGGCUUAAGGUAUUUGCUCCACUUGACAGAGAAAAGGCUGAUCACUAUACGCUCAAUGUUACUGUGUACGACCUCGGACUACCUCAGAAGUCCUCCUCACGCCUGCUGGAUGUUAAAGUUACAGAUGCAAAUGACAACAGCCCACAGUUUCUCCAAGACUCUUAUUCAGUAGAAAUUAGUGAAAACACAGCUGUGGGCACUGAGAUCAUACAGGUUGAGGCUAAAGAUAAGGAUCUUGGGGACAACAGUGUUAUCAAGUACUCUAUACUGGCAGACACUGAUCAGUUUGCCAUUGACGAGGAGACCGGAGUUGUUACGGUCAAAAAGCCGCUAGAUCGCGAGGCACAACCUGCGUUUGUGCUUAGGAUUGCAGCGCGUGACCAAGCUACUGCUGAACCUCAGCUAGUAUCCACAGUUUCACUUAAAAUCACAUUAGAAGAUGUCAACGACAAUCCCCCCAAAUUUAUCCCUCCUAGCUAUCGGGUAAAGGUCCGUGAGGAUCUACCUAUUGGUACCAUCAUCAUGUGGUUGGAAGCUCAUGACCCUGACAUUGGUCCUUCAAGCCAGGUGCGAUACAGCCUCGUGGACAAUGGCGACGGGAAGUUUGAGGUAGACAAACUCAGCGGUGCUGUUCGGAUCGUGCAGAACUUGGAUUACGAGAAAAAGCAACUUUACAACCUUGUGGCGAAGGCCAAGGACAAGGGCAAGCCCAUUUCUUUGUCCUCAACCUGCCACAUUGAGGUGGAGGUGGUGGAUGUGAACGAGAACCUGUAUCGUCCGUGGUUUCCAUCAUUUGUGGAUAAAGGAUUUAUCAAAGAGGACGUACCAAUUGGAACAUCGGUCAUGAAAGUCACGGCUCAGGAUGAGGACAGCGGAAGAGAUGGGGAGAUCCGCUACUCUAUUAGGGAAGGAUCUGGCCUGGGGAUCUUCGCCAUCGAUGAAGAAACUGGGGUGAUCAGGACCCUGGAGCUACUCGACCACGAGACGGUGUCGCACUACUGGCUGACGGUCUACGCCACCGACCGCGGCGUGGUGCCCCUCUCGGCAUUCGUGGAGGUCUACAUUGAGGUGCAGGACGUGAACGACAACGCCCCGCAGACCUCCGAGCCUGUCUACUACCCGUCCGUCAUGGAGAACUCAGCCAAAGACGUCUCCAUCAUGCAGAUCGAGGCCUUUGACCCGGAUACCAAGUCCAGCGACAAGCUCACCUACAAGAUCACCAGCGGAAACCCACAGGGCUUCUUCAGCAUCAACCCCAAGACCGGUUUGGUUGCCACCACUUCCAGGAAACUGGACCGAGAGCAGCAGGAUGAGCACAUUCUUGAGAUCACAGUGACUGAUCACGGCGUUCCAGCCCGGUCCACCACAGUGCGGGUGAUCGUGAAGGUUCUGGACGAGAACGAUAACCGCCCGGUCUUCAUGGAGAAGGUCUACAAGAUCAAGCUGCCCGAGCGCGAGAAGGUGGAGAAGCAGUUCCGGCGGGACCCUGUUUACCGCGUAAUCGCUACCGACCGGGACGACGGCCCCAACGCCGAAAUCUCCUACAGCAUCGAGGAGGGAGACGAGCUGGGAAAAUUCUUCAUCGAGCCCAAAACCGGCCUCGUUUCAUCCAAGAAGUUCUCCUCCGCUGGAGAGUACGACAUCCUGACGAUUAAGGCAGUGGAUAACGGGCGGCCCCAGAAGUCGUCCACAUGCCGCCUGCACAUCGAAUGGAUCCCGAAACCGGAGCCAAGCUCCUCCCCGCUGGCCUUCGACGAGAGCGUCUUCUCAUUCACCGUCAUGGAGAGCGACCCUGUCGCGCACAUGGUUGGGGUCAUCACCAUGGAGACGGUGGACACACCUGUCUGGUUUGAGAUCACAGGCGGUAACUCGGACCACCGCUUCGACGUGGACAAGGCCAGUGGGACGCUGGUGGUGGCCCGGCCGCUGGACGCUGAGCAGAAGUCCAACUACAACCUCACACUGGAAGCUACGGAUGGAACACGCACUGCUAGCACACAGGUUCUGAUCAAAGUGAUCGACACCAAUAACCACCGGCCGCAGUUUUCCGAGCCCCGUUACGAGGUGACGGUCCGCGAGGACGCCCCGCCGGAGACGGAGGCUCUGCGGCUCAGCGCCUCCGACCAGGACGAGAAGAACAAGCUGACCUUCACCCUGCUGAGCAGCACCGACCCCUUCAGCCUGCGCAAGUUCCGCCUGGACCCCGGCACCGGCGUGCUCUACACCGCCGAGACCCUCGACCACGAGACCGUGCGCCAGCACACGCUCACCGUCAUGGUACGAGACCAGGACAUCCCAGUAAAGCGGAACCUUGUGCGAGUGAUAGUGAACGUGGAGGACACUAAUGACAACGCCCCGUGGUUCUCCGGGACGCCGUACUCAGGACGAGUGUUUGAAUCAGCUGCCGUCGGCUCCAGGGUGCUGCAGGUCACAGCGUUGGACAAGGACAAGGGCCAGAAUGCAGAAAUCGUCUACAGUAUUGAAUCAGGAAAUGUGGCAAAUUCGUUUGCCAUCGAUCCUGUCCUGGGGACUAUCACUGUGGCGAAAGAACUGGACCGAAGCAACAAGAACCAGUUUGAGCUGACAGUGAAAGCAACAGACCGAGGAACGCCACCCCUAAGCGCUACAGCAACCGUUGACAUCACAGUUACUAUCUCAGACAACGCCAAACCCAAAUUCACCGAGAAGGAGUUUUCCGCGGAGAUCAGCGAAACCGCACCUCUCGGAACAUUUGUGAGCCUGGUUACAGCCACCAGUCAGUCAUCAGUCUUUUACCAGAUUAAAGAUGGCAACGUAAACGGCGCAUUCGACAUUAACCCCAACUCUGGAGUGGUUGUCUCUCAAAAGGCUUUGGAUUACGAAACAGUACCCUCAUACAAACUAAUCAUUCAGGGAACCAACAUGGCUGGCCAAGCUAGCAAUGCUACACUGGUCAUUCACCUGAAGGAUGAAAAUGACAAUGCUCCAGUCUUCAUUCAAGGCGAAUUCUUUGGAAUGGUGAGCGAGUCUUCUCCAGUCAAAAGUGUCGUCCUCACCAAAGACAGCACUCCACUAGUCAUUCGUGCUUUAGAUAUGGACCGCGACACCAACGCUAGGUUAGUUUACCAGAUUGUGGAACCGUUUGCCCACAACUACUUUGCCAUCGAUUCCAGCACUGGAGCAAUCAGAACGACAACUGAGCUGGAUUAUGAAGAAAAAUCUGUUUUCCGCUUCACUGUUCAAGUUCAUGACAUGGGAGUCCCACGUCACUUUGCGGAGAAGGCUGCCAACGUGACCAUCGAAGUCAUAGAUGUCAACGAUUGCCCACCACAGUUCAGUCAGGACUUGUAUGAGACUACAGUUCUAGUGCCAACUUACAAAGGUGUGGAAGUCAUCACGAUAAAUGCUACUGAUGCAGACUCGGGACCAAACGCUAGACUUCUCUACUCCAUUGCUGAAGGUAACAUUGGGGAAAAGUUCAAAAUGGACCCAAUCACUGGGGUUAUUAGCAUACAGAAUGUCACCCAGUUGAGAAGUAGGUAUGAGCUGAGAGUUAGGGUGUCUGAUGGGCGGUUCUCCAGAAUGACAUCGGUAAAGAUAAAUGUCAAAGAGAACAAAGCAAGCAGUCUGAAGUUUACGCAGACAUCCUACAAGGCCUUUGUGCCGGAGAACUCCUUGGAGAGAAAGACUCUGGCUGUCAUCGCAGCUGUAGGCAACCAAGUCAAUGAACCUCUGUUUUACAGUAUUUUGAACCCCGAUAAACGGUUUGAAAUCAGCCGUACCUCUGGAGUACUGUCCUCAACUGGUGCACUUUUUGACCGUGAGGAACAGGACACCUAUGAGAUUGUCGUGGAAGUGAGCAGGGAGAGCAAGUCAUCUGAUGUGGCUCACAUUCUUGUAACGGUAAUCGUUGAGGAUGUCAAUGACAACCCACCAAUGUUUGUCAACUUACCGUAUCAUGCCCUCGUCCAGAAGGAUGCUGAGGUAGGCCACGUGAUUAGACAAGUGACAGCCAUCGAUGCAGACACUGAUCAGAACGCAGAGAUAAAAUACCACCUACACGAACUGAACGAAUACAUCCAGAUGAGCUCAGGAGGUGAACUCUCUCUGAAAAAGCCUUUUGAGCAGGACUCCCUGAAUACAGAGUUUGUGGUCACAGUCGUGGCCACGGACGGCGGGGAACCGCCAUUGUCUGCAACUGUUGAAGUGCCUAUAACUGUAGUAAACAAAGCCAUACCAGUGUUUGAAAAACCAUUUUAUAGUCUAGAAAUCCCUGAGAACAUCCAGCUACACACGCCUAUUGUCCACGUCCAGGCCAGUGAUUCUGAAGGGUCUAGGAUAGUGUACACCAUCUCAGAGGGGGAUCCGUACAGUCAGUUCUCCAUCAAUUUCAACACUGGCGUGAUCCACGUUGUACAGCCUCUUGAUUUCGAAACACACCCUGCCUAUAAACUAAGUGUAAGAGCCAUCGACUCCCUUACUGGUGCUAAAGCUGAAGUUUUUGUCGAUAUAAUCUUAGAAGAUGUGAACGAUAACCCUCCCAUGUUUCUUGGCAAGUCCUAUAACGCAAGCCUUUCAGAAGCCUCUGUAAUUGGCACCUCAGUAGUACAAGUCUCUGCUACCGACGCAGACACAGGUAACAACAAACUGCUGUUCUAUCAACUAGUUGAAGAUAACGAGAAGAGCUUUGAGUAUUUUACCAUCGACCGCAACACAGGCACAAUCUGGACAGCUCAAACUCUGGACCACGAGGAGAAAUCCCAACACAAGUUGGUAGUCAGAGCUGUGGAUGGAGGAGUUCCUGCACUUUCAAGCGAAGUCACUGUGACAAUUGACGUUAUCGACCUUAACGACAAUCCUCCUGUGUUCUCACAAAACGUUUACGAAACAGCCAUCAGCGAGCUGGCUCCCCGUGGCCAUUUUGUAACUCAGGUUCAGGCUUCAGAUGCAGACAGCUCUGACAGUUCGAAGCUUGAGUUCUCAAUCCUGUCAGGGAAUGAGGAGCAGAACUUCGCCAUGGACAAAUUCUCUGGAGCCAUCGUUAUUUCCAAUCACAGAAAGCUGCACAUGGCGUCGCUUUAUAACCUUAACGUUUCUGUUUCUGAUGGCGUGUUUAGGAACUCGGCUCUGGUGAAAGUUACAGUCAAUGGUGCCAACUUCCACAGUCCCACCUUCCCUCAGGUUGACUAUAUUGUUGAGCUUCUGGAAAACUCCCCAGUUGGAACAUUGGUAGCAGAGGCCCAAGCUUCGGACGAGGACGCCGGCACGUAUGGGCGACUCACAUACCACAUAAUCAAUAACGUUGCUAAAGACAAGUUCUCUGUCAAUGAAGACGGUGAAAUUUUCACUUUGGAGAGUCUUGAUCGAGAGAAUGCUCUGGAGAAAGUCAUUCCCAUCUCUUUGAUGGCAAAAGAUGGCGGUGGCAAGGUUGGAUUCUGCACCAUCAGUGUGAUCCUAACUGACAUUAACGAUAACUCCCCACAGUUUAAAGCAGCAGAGUACAAAGUCAGCAUUGCAGUGGAUGUUCCAAGAGGGACGACCGUGGUUAAAAUUGCAGCUUCUGAUAUGGAUGAAGGCAGUAAUGCUGACAUCACGUACACCAUCGAAGCAGACGCCGAAAACGUUGCUGAAAAUUUUGAAAUCCACCCAAUGACUGGUGUCAUCGUUACAAAAGAAAGUCUCAUCGGUUUAGAGAAUGAGCUAUACACUUUCCUUGUCCGUGCAAAGGAUGGUGGAAACCCCUCAAGAUCUUCUGUAGUCCCAGUCUACGUCAGAGUACUACCCCCAGAGGUCAAGGUGCCCAAAUUUGUCGAGCCGCAUUACAGGUUCGCAGUUGACGAGGAUCGUCCUCUGGGCUCUGAGAUAGAUAUCAUCCAGGCAGAAAGUGACCAGCCUGUGGUUUAUAGCCUGGUUAAAGGUAACACACCUGAGAGCAACAAGGACGAGGUGUUUGUUGUUGACCGUGACACGGGAACUCUUAAGCUGGAGAAGAAACUGGACCACGAGAGCACAAAGUGGUACCAGCUCACUCUCCAGGCACAGACUGAAAAUGAAGGCAUUGAGGUCAUCUCCUCUGUGGACAUUAGUAUCCAAGUCAAGGACAUCAAUGAUAACCAACCCCUGUUUGAGGCCAACCCUUACGAGGCAGUCGUAGCCGAGAACCUUCCAGCAGGCACCUCUGUGAUACAGGUGAAGGCGACGGAUUUGGACUCCAGCACGAACGGGCAGGUCGUCUACAGUCUUGAUGCUGUGCAGGACUCUGCGGAAAUAGCCGAACUGUUUGCCGUCAACAGCGAGACAGGGUGGGUGACAACCCUGAAGGAACUGGACCGUGAAAAAAGGGACAGAUACACAGUUGCGGUCCUGGCUUCAGACCGCGGAGACAAGGUGCAGCUAACGGCCAGCACCAAGGUGGACGUGACGGUUGCGGACGUAAACGACAACCCUCCUCGCUUCACCGCAGAGAUCUACAAAGGCACUGUCAGCGAAGAUGACCCUCCCGGCGGAGUUAUCGCUAUCCUUAGCACCACGGAUGCUGACUCUGAAGACAUCAACAAGCAAGUGGAAUACUUCAUUACAGGCGGCGACCCUCUGGGGCAGUUUGGAGUGGAGCACACGCAGGGCGAGUGGAAGGUGUACGUGCGGAAGCCGCUGGACCGCGAGACGAGGGACAAUUACCUGCUCAAUAUCACCGCCACCGAUGGAACCUUCGCCGCCAGGGCCGUGGUGGAGGUCAAAGUGCUGGAUGGCAAUGACAACAGCCCCGUCUGCGAGAAGACUCUCUACACGGACCGUGUUCCAGAAGACUCCGCUGCUGGACGGCUGAUCCUGCAGGUUUCUGCCACGGAUGCAGACAUUCGCUCCAAUGCCCACAUCACCUACCAGCUUCUCGGAGCCGGAUCUCAGCAUUUCAGCAUCGACCCCGACACAGGUGAGCUGAAGACCCUCCUCCCGCUGGACCGUGAGGAACAGGAGCUCCACAGGAUGAAGAUGAGGGCGGUGGACGGAGGGGGGCGCUACUGCGAGGCGGAUGUGGAGAUCAUGGUGGAGGACACCAAUGACAAUCCCCCUCAGUUCACCUCUGACCCCUACAGCAUCACCGUGUUCGAGAACACAGAAAUACACACGCCUGUCGCCCGCCUGCAGGCCACAGACCUCGAUACAGGCUCGAAUGCUGCCCUGGUCUUCUCUCUGCUGGACUCGGCUGAUGGCAUGUUCUCUGUGGACGAAGCUUCUGGCGUUCUGUUUCUGGACUCUGCUCUGGAUCGAGAGAUCCAUUCUUCAUACACACUGCGAGCUCGCGUCUCGGACCGCGGCUCGCCCCGCCCACUCUCCUCCGUCUGCACCGUCUCCGUCUCGGUGCUGGACAUCAACCACGACCCGCCCGUGUUCCAGCGGCGGGAGUACACAGCCGCUUUGCCCGAGGACGUUACGGUGGGAACACAGGUACUGCAGGUGCAGGCGGUGAGCAGAGACGCAGAGAACGGGGACCACAUCACCUACAGCAUCGUCAACGGCAAUGAGAGAGGGGCCUUCAGCGUGGACCCCCACACUGGUGGUAUCUUUGUGAUUGAGCCUCUGGACUACGAGUCUUCGCAUGAGUUUUAUCUGACGCUGGAGGCCACAGACGGAGGGACGCCGGCGCUGAGCGAUAUGGCCACUGUAAACAUCAACGUGACGGACGUGAACGACAACAGCCCGGUGUUUGGACAGGCUGUGUACGCAGCCGUGGUUAGCGAGGACGCAGACCUGGGGAAGACCAUACUGACCGUCGUGGCUGAUGAUGCAGACGGACCCUCCAAUAACCAGGUGCGCUACUCCAUCACCGAUGGCAACCAAGGCAGUCCAUUCACCAUCGACCCACUGAGAGGAGAGGUCAAGGUGGCCCGUCAUUUAGAUAGAGAGAAGACCUCUGGAUACACUCUGACUGUGACGGCGUCUGACGGUGGCACUCCAGUCCGCUCCAGCAGCGCUACCAUCAACAUCGACGUCUCGGACGUCAACGACAACCCCCCGCUCUUCUCCCAGAGUAACUACAGCAUCAUCAUACAGGAGAACCGUCCAGUGGGCACCAGCAUCCUCCAGCUGACCGUGACGGAUGGAGACGCCUCCCACAACGGCCCACCUUUCACCUUCAACAUUGUUGGGGGCAACGAGGACGAUGCCUUCCACAUCACCCCACAGGGGGCGCUGGUCACUGUGGCUGUGCUGCGCCGCCAGACCAGAGAGCACUAUGUGCUGCAGACUCGGGUUUCAGACAGCGGUCGACCCUCUCUGUCCUCCACAGCGUUCAUAAGCGUCCGCCUGGUGGAGGAGAGCGUCCACGCUCCAGCCGUCCUCCCGCUGGAGGUCUUCAUCACAACUGCAACCGACGAAUAUCCAGGCGGUGUCCUGGGAAAGAUCCACGCCACCGACCAGGAUGUUUACGACACGUUGACCUACAGCCUUGCCCCAGACUCUUCCUCAGGACCUAUUCCUUCUUCUCCAAGCUCCGCCCCUCUCUUCUCCGUGUCCCCUGCCGACGGUAAGCUCGUGGCUCUCUCCGGUCUGGACGCUGGCCAGUACACGCUGAACGCCACGGUAACGGACGGACGCUUCACAUCGUUCGCUCGAGUGAAUGUCCACGUGCGGCACGCUGCCGCACACAUGCUGGACAACUCCAUCGGCGUACGUUUUGCCGCCAUCGCCCCCGAGGAGUUCAUCGGAGACUACUGGAGGAACUUCCAGCGCGCCUUACGCAACAUCGCCGGGGUCCGGAGGGCGGACGUCCAGCUGGUCAGUCUCCAGCCGGCUGCGGACGCUUCCGGAGACCUGGAGGUCCUCUUGGCCCUGGAGAAGUCAGGAAGUCCCUACCAGCCACAGGAAGUGGUGUACAGGAAGCUGAAUUCAUCAGCUGGUGCUAUCGAGGAGAUGACGGGUGUACGGAUCGUCCGCGUGGCCAAAAAGCUGUGCGCUGGACUGGACUGUCCAGUUAAUUACUGUGAGGAGACGAUCACACUUGAGACAGGAGCUACGUCCACCUACAGCACGGCGAGGGUCAGCUUUGUCACACCGAGACACAUUCGCACAGCCAAGUGCCUCUGCCAGGGUGCUGAGUGUUCAGUGUUCAGUAAACUGUGUGUGGGGAACCCGUGUCCUGAGGGUAUGGAGUGUGUAGAAGACACCACACACACCAAGUUCAGCUGCGUGUGCUCAGACGAGACGUCUGGACAGUGUUCUGAAGGACAGGCUCUGACGUUCAGUGGUAACGGCUAUGCCCGAUACAGACUGAUGGAGAACGAAAAUAAAGAAGAGAUGAACCUCUCGCUCAGACUGCGUACCUUCUCUGAUCACGCUACCAUCAUGUACGCCAAAGGCACGGACUACAGCAUUCUGGAGAUUGUGAACGGACGCCUACAGUACAAGUUUGACUGCGGUAGCGGCCCCGGCGUUGUGUCCGUCCACAGCCCGCUGGUCAGCGAUGGCGAGUGGCACUCUGUCUCCCUGGAGGUGGACGGUAACUAUGCCCGUCUAGUGCUGGAUGGGGUCCACGCAGCCUCAGGCAAAGCCCCAGGAAACCUGCGCACCCUGAACCUUGACUCCAGCGUGUUUUUCGGUGGUCGUGGGAGUCGACCUAUAGGGGGCAGCAGCAGCGGGCGCAUGGGUCGUAGCCUUCCGGUCACUGGUGGCCUGCGCGGAUGUCUGGAGGCCAUCGUGCUCAAUGGUCGGGAGCUUCCUCUAAAGUCGCAGUCCCGUGGAGCUCACGGCGUGCUGGAGGAGCUGGUGGAGGCGGCCCCCGGUUGCAGCUUGCCUCCACCAGCCCCUGCCUGCACCAGCAACCCUUGCACCAAUGGAGGAACCUGCGCCGAACUGCCGAACGGAGGUUAUUUCUGCAAGUGCAGUGCUUUGUUUAUGGGCACUCACUGUGAGGUCAGCAUCAGCCCCUGCUCCUCCAACCCCUGCCUGUAUGGGGGGACCUGUGUACCACGAGGAGACGACUUCUACUGCCAGUGCCGAGGCCAGUAUUCCGGCCAGAGGUGUCAGCUUGGUCCAUACUGCACGGAGAACCCAUGCAAGAACAGCGGACACUGCAUUGACAGCCUGGAUGGGCCAGUUUGCGAGUGCGAGCCUGGCUUUCAAGGAGACAGGUGUUUAGGUGACGUGGACGAAUGUGUGAAGAACCCAUGUGCCAAUGGAGGCCAGUGCCACAACACGUACGGCUCCUUCAGCUGUAACUGCUCUCUAGGCUUCGGCGGGCGCCAGUGCGAGCUUCGUGCCGAAAUCCGCAAUGAUUUUGUCUCCACGUCUUGGAAUAUCGGUUUAGAAGAAGUCAUCGGGAUCGCCGUCUUUCUGGCCAGCAUCUUCCUCAUGGUCCUGCUCUUCGUGUUGAUCCGCAAGCGUGCGUGCCGGCGCUCCAAGUCCGACAUGUCCCCAGACGACGCCAGCAAACACUUGGGCGUGGGUUCCGGCCAUCACUCCUUCCUCCAGCGGCCGUACUUUGACGCCAAGCUCAGCAAGAACAUCUACUCGGACGUGCCGCCGCAGGUGCCCGUGCGGCCCAUCUCCUACACUCCCAGCAUCCCCAGCGACUCACGCAACAACCUCGAUCGAAACUCCUUUGAAGGCUCGACCAUACCCGAGCAUCCAGAGUUUAGCACGUUUAAUCCAGACUCCAUCCACGGGCAUCGUAAGACCGUGGCUGUGUGCAGCGUUGCCCCGAACCUGCCCCCGCCGCCACCAUCCAACUCCGUUUCAGAUUCGGACUCCAUCCAGAAGCCCAGCUGGGACUACGACUAUGACGCUAAAGUGGUAGAUCUGGACCCAUGUCUCAGUAAGAAGGUGGUGGAGGACAGUGCGUGUCACCCUUACAACACCAGGGGAAGCAUGUCUGAGGUCCAGUCCCUCAGUUCUUUCCAGUCUGAGUCCUGCGAUGAUAAUGAGUCGUUCUCGCCUCAUGAGCUCAAGAACCCAAGAGGAUAUCACUGGGACACAUCUGAUUGGAUGCCGAGUGUUCAACUUCCUGGAAUCCAGGAAUUCCCUCAGUACGAGGUGGUAGAGGCUCCGCCCACUCUGUACAAUGACCCCGCCUUGCUGGAUACGGACUACUACCCCGGCGGCUACGACAUCGAGAGCGACUUCCCGCCUCCGCCCGACGACUUCCCGCCGCACGACGACCUGCCCCUGCCCCCGCCCGUGCCGGAGUACGGCUACGACACGCUCCAGUCUCCUGCCACACGGGCGCUCGCCGGCGCCCCCUCCAGCCCUGGAGGAUUGGCGGUGAGACAGAGGCCGCAGUUGCCCCAGCUCUACACCCUCAGCCCUUACCUCCCUCACCACCACUACCCCUCAGACCCGGAGCCUCAGAGCGAACCCGGCCACACCGGCUCCGGCCCCAGGGCGGGGCGUUAUCCACUGGGCUACGGGCGAGAUUUAGACGCCCCGGCGGCAGAUAACAUGUCACUGUCUCUGUACACGUCCACGGCCUCGUGCUCGGACAUGUCGGCCUGCUGCGAGGAGUCGGAGGCGCUGAUGAGCGACUACGACAGCGGCGGCGAGGACGGAGGGGAACAGUUCCAGCGUCUCGUCAUACCAACGCUGGAUUCUCAACAACAACAACAACAACAUACUGAAGUCUGACACUGGAUCCAAAAAGAGCAGAAAAAAGAAAAGAAAAGAAGUGCCUGAAAACUAAACCCUUAUGCAGGAGACUCUUGUCAUUGACAAACCAACUACACACACACACACACAGACAACUAAAUAAGCUGUACGCAAAGGCAUUUAUUACACUGUACUCCAGUACGACACAAACAGACGAAACACACACAUGAGGACAGUCCUGAGAAACCUCUUGGACUCACGUUUAGCAAUUCAUUCCACUUGCAGUCGUCGAGCCGAGGGGUGCCCAGCGCUCACGCCCUCCUCGCGGAGAUCCGAUAAAAACAAAAACAGCAACAUUUCAAAGCGAUAUCUGUCUGUAUUUGUAUAAAUACAAAAAAAAAAUAUUAAUAAAACAUGCAAACUGUCGUUUUUUUCUAUAAUUACAAAUCCUCAUUCAUUUGUAAUGUAAAUGGUACUGUACAGUUUUGAUUUACUAGGUUGUUUUUUUUUUGUAGAUAUGAUUUUUAUUUUCCAAAAAAGAAAACGAAAAAAAAAAAAACUGCACAAACUAAAAGGAGUGUGUCGUUUUUCAGCCUUACUGUAUUUUUCAUUCACGUCAAGACGAAAAGGAUAGGCGGGGGAAAAUAAAUAAAAAAAUAAAGUAUGUUGAGAAAUGUAUUGAUUGAAAUGAGUUGAUUGAUACAAUUGUGAGACUGUCUCCACCCUCUAAAACCCCCAAACCCCAACCCCCCCAUCUACACACACACACACACACACACAGGUUAAAUAGGUUUGCCGCUCCAUUCUGUCGGGCGUCUGCAUAUUAUCGUGAUGUCUUUUUAUUUUUUCCGUUUUUGUUUUGAUGUUUUUUUUUGUUUGUUUGUUUGUAAAUUGCAACUGUAAACCUCUUUAUUUUUCCACCAUAAAAUGAAAAAAAAAAACUAAAAUAAAUAAAUAAAUAAACAAACGGGACCCAGUAUAUUUAUAUAUUGCGAGAUUAAGAUGAAGCGUGGAUGCGCUUUGUUUUCAGGCGUCCGUUCGCGUGUGGGCGGCGCUCUGGUCUUGUUUAUGGGUUGUUUUCUUUCUUUUUGUUUUUUUUUUUUGUUUGUUUGAUUGUUUUUUUUUAAAUACUGCCACUAGCUUAACUGCUUUACUACUGGCAAUAAAUUAUUCUUAAAAAUACCAGCGCUCGUCUUGUUCUCUAUGCUUUGUGAAGAUGAUGUUUGAAUAUACAGUAUUAUACAGAAUGUCUUGAUUUUCAGCAGCAAGGUUUCAAUCUUUGUGCAGUAGAGGUGUGUGAUAUAAACGGUCUUAAAAUAAUAUCACAAUAUUUCAGGUAGGGGUGUGUCUAUGAUAAUAUCUUAAUUGGAGCCAUCCAAACAGAGUGAAAAAUACCAGAAUUUAAAUAAUCUGAAUCAUGAUUUUAGUUAUGAUUAAUCACACAAUAUUGCAGUGAUUAAUACAGUUAAUCUAACACUGAAUACAUUUUUUAAGCAAUGAUACAGGAGAGGGAGUGCUGUAACAUGUAAUAUUGGCACUGCAUGAGCUGAACGUGUCCCAGAAUGCAUCACGAGUCUCGCUACUAAACAACAGACAGGCGAACCAACGGAGUGGACAGCGAGCCAUCAGGGUUGCCAGAUUGUUACAGUGGGAUUCAGGUAAACCCAAUUCACUGCUACAUGUUUCAAAUCCACAAAAAUGCAGAAAAAAAAACAAACAAACCAAAAACAAAAGAGCUGGCGUUCAGCAUAUCAACAGUAUUACGAGGUUUAUUCCAACAUGAUCUUACAUAAAAUACCUUAUCUUAAAUCAUUCUAAUAAAAAAAAAACAUUUAAAAUGAUUUUAUCUGCAUGUGUUUAGUGUAAAUAAACAUACAAACAACAAAAGAAGUAAAUAGCUACCCAUAGAGUUAGAUAUCUUACUACAACACUGAGGAGUUAAUUUUUUUAACUCUUAACAGUUGGUAAUUUUGUCCACCCUUUAAAGCACAUAAUUUCCUACAGAUAAUUUCAGACAUAACUCGACAUUUGUAAUAAAAACACCCAAUCUGGCAACAUUAUGAGCCGCUGGACGCCGGUAAUUUUUAGGGUUGCCACGUGUCCCGGUUUUCCCAGGACUUUCCUUCUUUUUAAUAUUUAGUCCAGUAAAAAAAGUCCCGAUUUUUUCUAAUUUAUAUUAAAUGACUAUUUAGACUUUUUUUUUUUUCUCGCUGACGUGCACCAUGUGCCUCAUUGGUGCUGGGGGGGAUCAUGUGACUUCACUAUCCAAUCGGAACAGGCGGCUGCUACGGCUAGUGAAUCAAAUAUUAAGGAGGUAGAGCACAACAGAUUCGACAUCACCACAUUUAAAACAACUCUAUAGUUACGUUUACUCUUUUAAUCUUAAAAGAUAGAAGUGAAUAAUAAAACACACAUCAUACGCAUCUCCUUACCCAGUUUUCCAUUUUUUUCCAUCUGUUCUCUCCCUCCUUAACCUUUCAGCAAAGAGGGUGCAAAAGCAAGCACAAGCAAAGCUCACACAGGUACUUAUAUAAGCAGUGUUACACCAGACUCUUUCCGUGUCCCGAGCUGACCCCAGCUGUCUGCUUGAUAAGAGGUUCAAGUCCAUUCAUGGUUGGGUGCCGGUGCCGACACUCCCUGGAUCAGGCUCUUCCCACAGUGUGAACCUACGUUUGGGUGAUACACCCCAUCCAGAAAUCCAGCCCACUCUUGAGUCAGACAUUUCCAGUAAAAACCGGGAUUCAGCCAAUACUGAGAGAAACUGCGGCGGAGCUGGAGGAACAGCAGCCCACCUGAGAGGAGCUUCAGACCGGCCCUGAGGUGCCAGUAAGGCAGUGAGGAAGAUGGGGAGGAUGAAGAAGAGAUGAGAAGCGAAGAGGAGGAAGAGCAAGACAACAGCGGGUCCAGGGAUGAAGACUACAUGCCUGAGGAGGAGGAUGAGGAAGAGGAGGAAGCUGAAUUACGUGUCACUGCACAUGAUUUCUGACCACAAAGAACAGCAGACUCAGAAGACACAAGACGCCAACAGAGCAAUUCCAGACGAAGAGAAGAGAAGAGCAGUGAAAUCAGGUCCUAAACACCAGCCAGCGUUCUCAAAAACGAAGGUUCUACAAAGGGUUUUCUGAGCGAUGCCUAAAAAGAACCACUUUCAGAUUUGUUUUUAAAUGGGAUGUGGGUGUGAAGAACUUUUUACCCUGGUAAAGAACCUUUAUGUCGAGUCAAGAGAAAAUUAAACAAUGUGUUCUUAAAGUUACUGUGUACCUUAUCUUAUUUUAUUGUUAAAAGUUUCUCAUCUUCAUGUGCCUAACAACUUUCAGAAGACCUGAUGGACCUGGUGGAGCAGUUCAAGAUCUAAUCAUGUGGAACAUCAUGCUUAUGCACUUUCUGAAACCUUGCUUUUUUAGUGUGGCCUUAAAAUAACAAAGUAAAGAAAAACGUUUUUGAAAAA